rnacentral:rRNA from 1 species
UGAGGAAUAUUGGUCAAUGGACGAGAGUCUGAACCAGCCAAGUAGCGUGAAGGAUGACUGCCCUAUGGGUUGUAAACUUCUUUUAUACGGGAAAUAAAGUGAGGCACGUGUGCCUUUUUGUAUGUACCGUAUGAAUAAGGAUCGGCUAACUCCGUGCCAGCAGCCGCGGUAAUACGGAGGAUCCGAGCGUUAUCCGGAUUUAUUGGGGUUUAAAAGGGAGCGUAGGGCGGACGCUUAAGUCAGUUGUGAAAAGUUUGCGGCUCAACCGUAAAAUUGCAGUUGAUACUGGGUGUCUUGAGUACAGUAGAGGCAGGCGGAAUUCGUGGUGUAGCGGUGAAAUGCUUAGAUAAUUGCGCAGAACUCCGAUUGCGAAGGCAGCGUACUGGCGCCUGACUGACGCUGAGGCACGAAAGCGUGGGGGAUCGAACAGGAUUAGAUACC